rnacentral:rRNA from 1 species
UACAGAGGGGGCAAGCGUUGUUCGGAAUUACUGGGCGUAAAGGGCGCGUAGGCGGCCUGCUAAGUCGAACGUGAAAUCCCUGGGCUCAACCCAGGAACUGCGUCCGAUACUGGCUGGCUUGAAUUCGGGAGAGGGAUGCGGAAUUCCAGGUGUAGCGGUGAAAUGCGUAGAUAUCUGGAGGAACACCGGUGGCGAAGGCGGCAUCCUGGACCAACACUGACGCUGAGGAGCGAAAGCCAGGGGAGCAAACGGG